rnacentral:rRNA from 1 species
CAUGCAAGUCGAGCGGUAGCACAGAGAGCUUGCUCUCGGGUGACGAGCGGCGGACGGGUGAGUAAUGUCUGGGAAACUGCCUGAUGGAGGGGGAUAACUACUGGAAACGGUAGCUAAUACCGCAUAAUGUCGCAAGACCAAAGAGGGGGACCUUCGGGCCUCUUGCCAUCAGAUGUGCCCAGAUGGGAUUAGCUAGUAGGUGGGGUAACGGCUCACCUAGGCGACGAUCCCUAGCUGGUCUGAGAGGAUGACCAGCCACACUGGAACUGAGACACGGUCCAGACUCCUACGGGAGGCAGCAGUGGGGAAUAUUGCACAAUGGGCGCAAGCCUGAUGCAGCCAUGCCGCGUGUAUGAAGAAGGCCUUCGGGUUGUAAAGUACUUUCAGCGGGGAGGAAGGCGAUAAGGUUAAUAACCUUGUCGAUUGACGUUACCCGCAGAAGAAGCACCGGCUAACUCCGUGCCAGCAGCCGCGGUAAUACGGAGGGUGCAAGCGUUAAUCGGAAUUACUGGGCGUAAAGCGCACGCAGGCGGUCUGUCAAGUCGGAUGUGAAAUCCCCGGGCUCAACCUGGGAACUGCAUUCGAAACUGGCAGGCUAGAGUCUUGUAGAGGGGGGUAGAAUUCCAGGUGUAGCGGUGAAAUGCGUAGAGAUCUGGAGGAAUACCGGUGGCGAAGGCGGCCCCCUGGACAAAGACUGACGCUCAGGUGCGAAAGCGUGGGGAGCAAACAGGAUUAGAUACCCUGGUAGUCCACGCCGUAAACGAUGUCGACUUGGAGGUUGUGCCCUUGAGGCGUGGCUUCCGGAGCUAACGCGUUAAGUCGACCGCCUGGGGAGUACGGCCGCAAGGUUAAAACUCAAAUGAAUUGACGGGGGCCCGCACAAGCGGUGGAGCAUGUGGUUUAAUUCGAUGCAACGCGAAGAACCUUACCUACUCUUGACAUCCAGAGAACUUUCCAGAGAUGGAUUGGUGCCUUCGGGAACUCUGAGACAGGUGCUGCAUGGCUGUCGUCAGCUCGUGUUGUGAAAUGUUGGGUUAAGUCCCGCAACGAGCGCAACCCUUAUCCUUUGUUGCCAGCGGUUAGGCCGGGAACUCAAAGGAGACUGCCAGUGAUAAACUGGAGGAAGGUGGGGAUGACGUCAAGUCAUCAUGGCCCUUACGAGUAGGGCUACACACGUGCUACAAUGGCGCAUACAAAGAGAAGCGACCUCGCGAGAGCAAGCGGACCUCAUAAAGUGCGUCGUAGUCCGGAUUGGAGUCUGCAACUCGACUCCAUGAAGUCGGAAUCGCUAGUAAUCGUAGAUCAGAAUGCUACGGUGAAUACGUUCCCGGGCCUUGUACACACCGCCCGUCACACCAUGGGAGUGGGUUGCAAAAGAAGUAGGUAGCUUAACCUUCGGGAGGGCGCUUACC